GACGAACGCUGGCGGCGUGCCUAAUACAUGCAAGUCGAACGCAGUGGGGCCGGGUGAGUAACACGUGGGUAACCUCCCAUCAGAGGGGAUAACAUUUGGAAACAGGUGCUAAACCGAUACUGAUGGAUGGACCCGCGGUGCAUUAGCUAGUUGGUGAGGUAACGGCUCACCAAGGCCACGAUGCAUAGCCGGCCUGAGAGGGUGAUCGGCCACACUGGGACUGAGACACGGCCCAGACUCCUACGGGAGGCAGCAGUAGGGAAUCUUCGGCAAUGGACGAAAGUCUGACCGAGCAACGCCGCGUGAGUGAAGAAGGUUUUCGGAUCGUAAAGCUCUUUUGUUAGGGAGGCGGUAUCUAACCAGAAAGCCACGGCUAACUACGUGCCAGCAGCCGCGGUAAUUC
rnacentral:rRNA from 1 species